rnacentral:rRNA from 1 species
GAGUUUGAUCCUGGCUCAGGAUGAACGCUGGCGGCGUGUCUAAUACAUGCAAGUCGAACGAGUUCUCGUUGAUGAUCGGUGCUUGCACCGAGAUUCAACAUGGAACGAGUGGCGGACGGGUGAGUAACACGUGGGUAACCUGCCCUUAAGUGGGGGAUAACAUUUGGAAACAGAUGCUAAUACCGCAUAGAUCCAAGAACCGCAUGGUUCUUGGCUGAAAGAUGGCGUAAGCUAUCGCUUUUGGAUGGACCCGCGGCGUAUUAGCUAGUUGGUGAGGUAAUGGCUCACCAAGGCGAUGAUACGUAGCCGAACUGAGAGGUUGAUCGGCCACAUUGGGACUGAGACACGGCCCAAACUCCUACGGGAGGCAGCAGUAGGGAAUCUUCCACAAUGGACGCAAGUCUGAUGGAGCAACGCCGCGUGAGUGAAGAAGGCUUUCGGGUCGUAAAACUCUGUUGUUGGAGAAGAAUGGUCGGCAGAGUAACUGUUGUCGGCGUGACGGUAUCCAACCAGAAAGCCACGGCUAACUACGUGCCAGCAGCCGCGGUAAUACGUAGGUGGCAAGCGUUAUCCGGAUUUAUUUUUUUUUUGAGAGAACACAAGCGGGCGCGUUUUUUUUUUUUUUAUAGUAAAUCACCUUACCCGACCAACCCCAUCCGCAAACUGGGAAACUUGAGCGCAGAAGAGGACAGUGAAACUCUAUGUGUAGCGGUGAAAUGCGUAGAUAUAUGGAAG